rnacentral:rRNA from 1 species
UACGAAGGGGGCUAGCGUUGUUCGGAAUCACUGGGCGUAAAGGGUGCGCAGGCGGGUUCAUAAGUCAGGGGUGAAAUCCCGAGGCUCAACCUCGGAACUUCCUUUGAUACUGUGGGUCUUGAGUACGGAAGAGGUGAGUGGAACUGCGAGUGUAGAGGUGAAAUUCGUAGAUAUUCGCAAGAACACCGGUGGCGAAAGCGGCUCACUGGUCCGGAACUGACGCUGAGGCACGACAGCGUGGGGAGCAAACAGG